GACAACAAGGCAUGGAGCACCUCCACAUGGGCGCCCCGCGCCGCCGCCGCGCGCCUUAAAGGGGCCGCGCCGCGCCGCGCCCCAACCGCCCGCCAGCGCCCCGCGGGUCGCAGAGCGGCCGGACCCGCGGCGCUGCCGGCCCGGUGGCGGGGUCCUGCCCCCAGGCUCCCGUCGGCCGCUCCCGGCUAGCGGGGCAGGCGCCCCGGGAGCGGCGGUUCACCGAAAUGCGCUUUUCUAACCACUCUUGCGGACCCCAGAGCUCUGUACCGUAUAUCAGCGUCAAUCACAGCAAUGCAGUACACAUCGGUCGUUAUUGCCAAGUCACCUUUAGAUACUCCGGCAGCCACGUGUAGGGACUGCAGCAGUGCGACGGUGCCGUCACCAUUGCUACGUGUUUCCUUCUGGCUACAUUCUCCCUUACACCGUUCGUAGUAUUCCUACAAUACACGGUGUGCGCUGCUACGGAAUUGCACGAGAGAGACUGGUUCGGCUGAACUGAACCACGACGUCGUUCCGGCACUCAGAAACACUCACUGGGCUCCCAGCGGCCACGCUCGGUGCUGGUGUUUUGGGGCCCGCUGCUAAAUCCUGUCGUCUUCGCUUGUGCAAUCUGAGCAUUUGUUCAGGUCUGGAUUUGCACUUUCGAUGUCUGUGCUAGAGCACAAGCAGGCAAUAUCAGCUUUGCAGAUUUCUAAGCAGGUAAAACCCUGACUUUCUGUUGUUUAUGGCAGAACAGGGAAAUGCUGUGUCGCAGUAACACACUGCCAUCGGCUGCAGAAAGUACUUCUGGAAUUGUUGAUAAAUAGUGGGGGGAAGGUCCAUCCAAAGUCCACAGAGUACGUGCUAACGUCUCCUGGGCUUGGGGAGCAAUAGCUGACUAAGAAAUGGGCACUGAACAUACUUCCCAAUCUGCUGCAAACUGCUGCCUGUGAUAAAAUACCUACUGGAACGAUAGAAUUUCAUCUAUGAAAUACACGGAGAAAUCCAAGUAUUCUCCACUGAGAACUGGAUUUGCCUCUACAUUGCUCUGAGUCACCUCUUAACUGUGUUAAAAUUGUGCCAAAUAAAAGAAUUCUGGAGAAGAAAGCUGCGGAGCGAUUUUGACGCACCAAACCCAAGCGUGCUGUCCUGCUGCGUGAACCUCAAACCCCAAAGAACAGGUUUAACGCUGGUCGGCCCGCCGGGUAAUCACUGAUCGCGCUGUAUUUCCUCGCUGCAGCAACGCAGGGGAACGGUGCCCGCCUGAGACUGCGAAGUUCACCCACGGCGUUUGGGAGGUCUCUGUACAUCGCGUUAGUCCUUGUCCUUAAAGCUGUGUCAGGCUACAACUAAAGUAAACCCAAACCCACCAAAAGAGCCCGUGCUGGUGGAACAGCCGAGUGAGAAACGAGGAUGCGGGAGUUCGGACGAGUGAACCUCAUCUGGGGGGGCCAGAGAGGGAUGGCUGGUGUAAAACAGGUCUGGAUUUACUGAGCGGGGGGGUAUCGGUACUCAGAGAGCCAGUGCUGCCAUUGGAGGGGACCCCCGCGCAUCCCCCCUAACAGAGACGCCGACCCCUGCUGUAAGUCCUUCCCUGCGGAGCCGCACGGCCGUGCAGUCCCUGCGCGGGGAGCGAUCUCCAUCCCCGUGUUUACAAAGCCAAGGGUGGGCAGGCGUGAUCGGGGCAGGACGCAAAGCGCCACGAGCAGCCAUCUGUUCCCAGCACCAAACGUUCCCUGCAAUAACCCCACUCUACAAGUCAGCCUCAGACGUGGUGUCGGUAACUGCUUGUGUCGGGAUACUGCACCGCCUUGGCAAAGGCCAGCGUAAAGACGGGUUUGCUAGCUGGCAUUGUGUGACUACGGUUACUGGGGGGUUCGUAGAUUGGGUCAAUCGUUUGAUGGAUGGAAUCUGGUGUAUUUAGGUGAGAUUAUUCCAGUGUUGCUGAACAGCGGCAUUUGGACUUGUUCCGAGCAGUGCUGCUCAGCCAUCAGGCUCCUCUCGGGGGAGGCUGUGACCUCUGCGGGACGCAGGAACUGGUCUAAAGAAAAUGGGAGGAAAAAUAUUUGCUGCUCCCUGCAAGUUCAUUUAAAUUGAAGACUCAGCAAAAGAACACUUAAUAGAUGUUUCUUGCUUUUGAUGAUUUAACCAAAGCUGACCCAGCGCAAGAGGAAUAAUCAACGCAUUCUGCCCUGUUUGCUACCGCCAGUAAAGAUACAGAAUAUUAAAAGUAAAAUGAAGUUGUUAGAGAAAUUGCAAACCUACCAUCAAUGUCUGCACAUGCCUUAAAUCCAUACAGGAGAGUAUUAAGAUCUUCGGAGACAAAGUCUCUGCACAACGACAGUGCAAACACCCAUUUAAAUAACUUCAGUGUCAACAUGCUAUUUUAUUUUUAAAUGCAUUCUACAAUAUACAGAUGUGAAAAUAGAAGGUUUUGAAUGGCACAAGCCAAUUCAGUUUGACAAAAGUUCUGAAAAAGGAUUUCACUUAGAUUUAUGAUAAACACCUGCACAGUUCAUAAAAAUACAAUUUUCCCUUUCCAUCUAUAUGUACUCAUGCUUGUAUUGAACACGUCUAUAUCAUAAUAUAUGGCCACAUUAAAACGUAAUGAUAGCAAAAGCAGGCUUUAAGGAACAGCAGCUCUAAAAAUCAUGCUUUGUGCUUGCAGUAGGAUAACACUAUUGGUUACUAUAAAAUAAAACCUCGAUAACAUAAUGUAAUGUUGGAAAAGACACCCCCCCUCUCUUUUUUAAAGCAGACACUAAGAAGUAAAAGAGUUCAAAGUUUUCCUGUAUCUUAAA